CAAGAAGAUCUCAUGCUGUGACACUCUGGAGGGAAGCACUUUCUGUUGUCUGAAAGAAAACAAAGCGCUUCUCUUUAGAGUGUUACGGUUUGAGAAAAGC